rnacentral:tRNA from 1 species
GUCAAAAUAGUUCAGUUGCGAGAGCGUUAGGCUAUAGAUCGAAAGGUCCCUGGUUCGAUCCCGGGAUUCGGCA